UAGCGGAGGAAAAGAAACCAACAGGGAUUGCCUCAGUAACGGCGAGUGAAGCGGCAAAAGCUCAAAUUUUAAAGCUGGCACCUCCGGUGUCCGCGUUGUAAUUUUGUGAGGCAUCUCCGGGUGGGGCGCCGGCCUAAGUUCCUUGGAACAGGACGUCAUAGAGGGUGAGAAUCCCGUGCUUGGCUGGCUGUCCCCGUCCAUGUGAGGUGUCUUCGACGAGUCGAGUUGUUUGGGAAUGCAGCUCAAAAUGGGUGGUAAAUUUCAUCUAAAGCUAAAUAUUGGUGGGAGACCGAUAGCGCACAAGUAGAGUGAUCGAAAGAUGAAAAGCACUUUGAAAAUAGAGUUAAAAAGUACGUGAAAUUGUUGAAAGGGAAGCGCUUGAGACCAGACUUCGGUGGGGAGUGAUCAGCCGUCCUUCUGGGCGGUGCACUUGCCCCCCUCCGGGCCAGCAUCGGUUGGGACGGCGGGAUAAAGGUCCCGGGAAUGUGGCUCCUCUCGGGGAGUGUUAUAGCCCGGGUGAAUGCCGCCAGCCCCGACCGAGGACCGCGCCUUCGGGCUAGGAUGCUUGGCAUAAUGGUCUUCAGCGACCCGUCUGA
rnacentral:rRNA from 1 species